rnacentral:rRNA from 1 species
CUGGCGCGAGCUUACACAUGCAGUCGAACGCUGAAGCCUGGUGCUUGCACCGGGUGGAUGAGUGGCGAACGGGUGAGUAACACGUGAGUAACCUGCCCCUGACUUCGGGAUAAGCCCGGGAAACUGGGUCUAAUACCGGAUACGACUGCCGGACGCAUGUCUGGUGGUGGAAAGUUUUUUCGGUUGGGGAUGGGCUCGCGGCCUAUCAGUUUGUUGGUGAGGUAAUGGCUCACCAAGACGACGACGGGUAGCCGGCCUGAGAGGGCGACCGGCCACACUGGGACUGAGACACGGCCCAGACUCCUACGGGAGGCAGCAGUGGGGAAUAUUGCACAAUGGGGGAAACCCUGAUGCAGCGACGCAGCGUGCGGGAUGACGGCCUUCGGGUUGUAAACCGCUUUCAGCAGGGAAGAAGCGCAAGUGACGGUACCUGCAGAAGAAGUACCGGCUAACUACGUGCCAGCAGCCGCGGUAAUACGUAGGGUACGAGCGUUGUCCGGAAUUAUUGGGCGUAAAGAGCUCGUAGGUGGUUGGUCACGUCUGCUGUGGAAACGCAACGCUUAACGUUGCGCGUGCAGUGGGUACGGGCUGACUAGAGUGCAGUAGGGGAGUCUGGAAUUCCUGGUGUAGCGGUGAAAUGCGCAGAUAUCAGGAGGAACACCGGUGGCGAAGGCGGGACUCUGGGCUGUAACUGACACUGAGGAGCGAAAGCAUGGGGAGCGAACAGGAUUAGAUACCCUGGUAGUCCAUGCCGUAAACGUUGGGCACUAGGUGUGGGGGGCAUUCCACGUUCUCCGCGCCGUAGCUAACGCAUUAAGUGCCCCGCCUGGGGAGUACGGUCGCAAGGCUAAAACUCAAAGGAAUUGACGGGGGCCCGCACAAGCGGCGGAGCAUGCGGAUUAAUUCGAUGCAACGCGAAGAACCUUACCAAGGCUUGACAUACACCGGACCGUCCUGGAAACAGGUCUUCUUCUUUGAAGCUGGUGUACAGGUGGUGCAUGGUUGUCGUCAGCUCGUGUCGUGAGAUGUUGGGUUAAGUCCCGCAACGAGCGCAACCCUCGUUCUAUGUUGCCAGCAUGUGAUGGUGGGAACUCAUAGGAGACUGCCGGGGUCAACUCGGAGGAAGGUGGGGAUGACGUCAAAUCAUCAUGCCCUUUAUGUCUUGGGCUUCACGCAUGCUACAAUGGCUGGUACAGAGAGAGGCGAACCCGUGAGGGCAAGCGAAUCCCUUAAAGCCAGUCUCAGUUCGGAUCGUAGUCUGCAAUUCGACUACGUGAAGUCGGAGUCGCUAGUAAUCGCAGAUCAGCAACGCUGCGGUGAAUACGUUCCCGGGCCUUGUACACACCGCCCGUCAAGUCACGAAAGUCGGUAACACCCGAAGCCGGUGGCCUAACCGUAAGGAGGGGGCCGUCUUAUGGUGG